rnacentral:rRNA from 1 species
CAGCAGCCGCGGGAAUACGAAGGGGGCUAGCGUUGUUCGGAUUUACUGGGCGUAAAGCGCACGUAGGCGGACUUUUAAGUCAGGGGUGAAAGCCCGGGGCUCAACCCCGGAAUUGCCUUUGAAACUGGAAAGCUAGAAUCUUGGAGAGGUCAGUGGAAUUCCGAGUGUAGAGGUGAAAUUCGUAGAUAUUCGGAAGAACACCAGUGGCGAAGGCGACUGACUGGACAAGUAUUGACGCUGAGGUGCGAAAGCGUGGGGAGCAAACAGGAUUAGAUACCCCAGUAGUCCCUGUCUCUUAUAC